rnacentral:lncRNA from 1 species
AAUUAGUAAUAGGAAAAACCCAGAAAGAGACAGAGAGAAAGGGGGGAAAAAAUCCUCUGAGAACCCUGGUAUAUGUGGCCGGCUAAUUCAAAAAAGUCCCAGCCUUGCCCCUGCCAUAAAGCAGGGGACCCCAGUCUGGAAGGAGCUCUCCACAGGAACAAGGGCGGUUGGAGGAUGAGGCUCAAGGAAACAAACUGGAGAGAGAGAGAUGCUAUCAGCCUCAUUCCAGAGUUAUAGAACGUGGAUGAAAUAAAUGCACCUGACGAUUGGUGCUAUGGACGGAAUGUUCAUGUUCCCAUCCUCAAAUUCAUCUGUGGAAGUCCUGACCCCAGUGUGGCUGUAUUUGGAGAUAGAGUCUUUAUAGAAGUAAUUAAGGCUAAAUUUGGUUGUAAGGGUGGGACCCUGAUCCAACAGAAUCAAUGUCCUUGUAAGAAGAGCCAGGAGAGAGCUUGCUUUCUCUCCACUAUGUGAGGACACCGUGAGGAGGCAGCUCUCUGCAAGCCAGAAGAAGAGCCCUCUCUGGAAACCAAAUCAGCAAAAGUACUCUGUGAUCAAAGGUGGCACACUCUCUUCCUGUAGGCAUGGGACAAAUCAGAAAUGAUGAAAAAAUGCAUCACUUCAAGUUUCAAAAUGCAGUUGGAGCAAAAUAGGAAGUAGUAAAGAUUCCUUGAAAUCUAUUUCAGAGCUGUUCCUUUGGGGCUAUGAAAUAAAAGACAAGACUGGUAGAAAUGACUUAAAAUGCAAAAAUGGCAAAGGUAAUGAUCACCGUGGGUAGGUUAUAAACGACUGUGGAGGUUUGGGGAGGCUAAAUCAUCCAGCCAACGGAAAAGUAGUCAUUUGAAUCUGAAGACAGUGAGCCUCUGCCUGCGUCUGUCUCAUGUAUUGGAAU